GCCAUACAAGGUUGUUGGUAAGCUUUUAAAUUUGGAGAAAUGUCCUGUAAGUAAGGUCGGCACUAAGAGUUGUGCUUAGUUCAAGGAAGUAAAAAAAUACAAUGGCUCCUUUGAUGUUUAAGGAUGCUUUCUGGGGGUCUGACUUCACUUGCCACGCUGGGUAUGAAGCCGUGACCCAAAGGUUACGAGAUGGAAGGCAAAUGUGCAAAGAUAUGGAAGAGCUAUUGAAGAUGAGGGCACUGGCAGAGGAAAAGUAUGGAAAGGAACUGGUGACUAUUGCUCGCAAAGCUGGAGGACACAUAGAGAUAAGGUGAAAAACUUGUUUUGAGGUCAGCAUUAUGUAUUGUAUAGACUGCCCAACUAGUACAUAAAUAUAGCAAU